GAGUGCUCGAAAAGAGAACCGGCGCACAGGUGCUGCAUGGCUGUCGUCAGCUCGUGUCGUGAGAUGUUGGGUUAAGUCCCGCAACGAGCGCAACCCUUGUCCUUAGUUGCUACGCAAGAGCACUCUAAGGAGACUGCCGGUGACAAACCGGAGGAAGGUGGGGAUGACGUCAAGUCCUCAUGGCCCUUAUGGGUAGGGCUUCACACGUCAUACAAUGGUCGGAACAGAGGGUUGCCAACCCGCGAGGGGGAGCUAAUCCCAGAAAACCGAUCGUAGUCCGGAUUGCACUCUGCAACUCGAGUGCAUGAAGCUGGAAUCGCUAGUAAUCGCGGAUCAGCAUGCCGCGGUGAAUACGUUC
rnacentral:rRNA from 1 species